rnacentral:rRNA from 1 species
AUGGAGGCGAUCUUGCGCUCCAUCCCAGCGGAGAUGGUGCUCACCCUUGGCGCCAAGGAGAUGGCCAAGGAAGCAUGGGACACCAUCAAUACUCUGCGCAUCGGCGUGGUGCACGUAUGGGAGUCGAAGGCCCAGACCUUGCGCCUCCAGUACGAGGAGAUCCGGUUCAAGGCCGGUGAACAAUUCGACGACUUCGCCUUGCGGUUGCAAGGUCUCGUCAACGAGCUCGCAAUGCUCGGAGAUCACAUCGACAACAAGAUGGUGAUUCUCAAGUUCCUCCGCGUCGUCCCAAGGCAGUACAAGCAACUGGCCUGGUCCAUCGAGAGUUUGGUGGAUCUCUCCACCAUGACGAUCGAGGAGCUGAUAGGGCGGCUGAAGGUCGUCGAGGAGCGCAGCGACGAAGCCGACAACUGUGCUGGCGGCGAACUACUGCUCUCCAGGGAGCAGUGGGACGCGCAGCUUCAGCAGCGCGGCUGCGACGGCUCUUCUGGCAGUGGGGGAGGCGCCCCCACGGGAAGCAGAGGUCGCGGCAGAGGCGGAGGCCGUGCCCAGAGCGGCGGCAGCAACUGCGGUCGCAAGCCAAGCCAGGCAGGGCGAGGCACUGGCAAUGGUGGAAAGUGCCGCUGCUGCAACAUGCCGGGUCACUGGAUCCGGGAUUGCCACAGGAGGAAAGCCGACGAGGCAGCCGCGGCAACGACAAACCUCGUCCAUGCUGACGUGGACGGCGGGCCGGCAAUGAUGCUGGCAAGAGUCGAGCCCGUGCAGGAGAGCACAGUGUCUCUCGCGACCACGGCUCCGACAACCACCCAUUCCGUGCAGGAGGCACGGAACCCGUCCACGGGAACCAUCACUCCAGUGAUAGGCCACACCUCGACAACGACGUUUUCGGGCCUGUCGACUGGGAGGCGAUGA